UGCGUAGGCGGUCUUAUAAGUCAGUAGUGAAAUCUCGAGGCUCAACCUCGAGCGUGCUAUUGAAACUGUAAGACUUGAGUACAGACGAGGCAGGCGGAAUGUGUUAUGUAGCGGUGAAAUGCAUAGAUAUAACACAGAACACCGAUAGCGAAGGCAGCUUGCCAGACUGUAACUGACGCUGAUGCACGAAAGCGUGGGUAGCGAACAGGAUUAGAUACCCUGGUAGUCC
rnacentral:rRNA from 1 species